rnacentral:rRNA from 1 species
UACGGGGGGAGCAAGCGUUGUUCGGAUUUACUGGGCGUAAAGGGCGCGUAGGCGGCCACCGCAAGUCGACUGUGAAAUCUCCGGGCUUAACUCGGAAAGGUCAGCCGAUACUGCGGGGCUAGAGUGCAGAAGGGGCAACUGGAAUUCUCGGGUGUAGCGGUGAAAUGCGUAGAUAUCGAGAGGAACACCUGCGGCGAAGGCGGGUUGCUGGACUGAUACUGACGCUGAGGCGCGAAAGCCAGGGGAGCGAACGGG